CCUACGGGUGGCAGCAGUGGGGAAUAUUGCACAAUGGGGGAAACCCUGAUGCAGCGACGCCGCGUGAGUGAAGAAGUAUUUCGGUAUGUAAAGCACUAUCAGCAGGGAGGAAGGAAGAAGGUACCUGACUAAGAAGCCCCGGCUAACUACGCGCCAGCAGCCGCGGUAAUACGUAGGGGGCAAGCGUUAUCCGGAUUUACUGGGCGUAAAGGGAGCGUAGACGGCUGUGCAAGUCUGAAGUGAAAGCCCAGGGCUCAACCCUGGGACUGCUUUGGAGACUGGGGAGCUAGAGUCUUGGAGAGGGGAGUAGAAUUCCUGGUGUAGCGGUGAAAUGCGUAGAGAUUAGGAGGAACACCAGUGGCGAAGGCGGCUUACUGGACAGUAACUGACGUUGAGGCGCGAAAGCGUGGGGAGCAAACAGGAUUAGAUACCCUAGUAGUC
rnacentral:rRNA from 1 species